GACGAACGCUGGCGGCGUGCUUAACACAUGCAAGUCGAACGGAAAGACCCUGAUUUUGUGGGGUGCUCGUGUGGCGAGCGGGUGAGUAAAACGUGAGUAAACUGCACUUGACUUAGGGAUAAAAUCAGGAAACUCGGGCUAAUACCGGAUAGGAUAUCCUGCUGCACGGGGGGGGUUGGAAAGUGUCGGCGGUUUGGGCUGGACUCGCGGGUUAUCAGCUUGUUGGGGAGGUAGUCGAUUACAAGGGCUUUGAAGGGUAGCCGGCCUGAGAGGGUGACCGCCCUCCUGGGUCCUACGAUACGGCCCAGACGCCUACGUUCGGCAGCAGUGGGGAACAUUGCACAAUGGGCGGAAGCCUGAUGCAGCAGCGCCCCGUGCGUGAUGACGUCUUUCGGGUUGUAAACCGCUUUCUCCUGUGACGAAGCGGGAGUGACGGUAAUGGGUAAAGAAGCACCGGCUAACUACGUG
rnacentral:rRNA from 1 species